rnacentral:rRNA from 1 species
ACAUGCAAGUCGAACGAAGUCUUAGGACUUAGUGGCGCACGGGUGAGUAACAUGUGGGAAUCUACCUAAAGGUUCGGAAUAACUGCGGGAAACUGUAGCUAAUACCGGAUGUGUCUGAAAAGAGAAAGAUUUAUCGCCUUUAGAUGAGCCCGCACUAGAUUAGUUUGUUGGUGAGUUAAAAGCUUCACCAAGACUACGAUCUAUAGCUGAUUUGAGAGGAUGAUCAGCCACACUGGGACUGAGACACGGCCCAGACUCCUACGGGAGGCAGCAGUGGGGAAUAUUGGACAAUGGGGGAAACCCUGAUCCAGCAAUGCCGCGUGAGUGAGGAAGGCCUUAGGGUUGUAAAACUCUUUCAUCAACGAAGAUAAUGACAUUAAUUGAAGAAGAAGCUCCGGCUAACUCCGUGCCAGCAGCCGCGGUAAUACGGAGGGGGCUAGCGUUGUUCGGAAUUACUGGGCGUAAAGCGUGUGUAGGCGGAUCAAAAAGUUAGAUGUGAAAUCCCUGGGCUUAACCCAGGAACUGCAUUUAAUACUAGUGAUCUAGAAUUUGGUAGAGGUUAGUAGAAUUUCCAGUGUAGAGGUGAAAUUCGUAGAUAUUGGAAAGAAUACCAGUGGCGAAGGCGACUAACUGGGCCAUUUUUGACGCUGAGAUACGAAAGCGUGGGUAGCAAACAGGAUUAGAUACCCUGGUAGUCCACGCAGUAAACGAUGAGUGCUAGUCGCUGGGUCAAUAGAUUCGGUGUCGAAGCUAACGCAUUAAGCACUCCGCCU